rnacentral:rRNA from 1 species
GAUGAACGCUGGCGGCGUGCCUAAUACAUGCAAGUCGAGCGAACAGACGAGGAGCUUGCUCCUCUGACGUUAGCGGCGGACGGGUGAGUAACACGUGGAUAACCUACUUAUAAGACUGGGAUAACUUCGGGAAACCGGAGCUAAUACCGGAUAAUAUAUUGAACCGCAUGGUUCAAUAGUGAAAGACGGGUUUGCUGUCACUUAUAGAUGGAUCCGCGCCGCAUUAGCUAGUUGGUAAGGUAACGGCUUACCAAGGCGACGAUGCGUAGCCGACCUGAGAGGCUGAUCGGCCACCCUGGAGCUGAGACGCGGUCCAGACUCCUACGGGAGGCCGCAGUAGGGUAUCUUCCGCAAUGGGCGAAAGCCUGACGGAGCAACGCCGCGUGAGUUAUGACGGUCUUCGGAUCGUAAAACUCUGUUAUUAGGGAAGAACAAAUGUGUAAGUAACUAUGCACGUCUUGACGGUACCUAAUCAGAAAGCCACGGCUAACUACGUG